rnacentral:rRNA from 1 species
ACUGAAUAGAUACCCUGGUAGUCCAUGCCGUAAACUAUGGAUACUAGCUGUUGGGGGUAUCGACCCCUCCAGUAGCGAAAGCUAACGCGUUAAGUAUCCCGCCUGUGGAGUACGAUCGCAAGAUUAAAACAUAAAGGAAUUGACGGGGACCCGGCACAAGCGGUGGAGCGUGUUCUUUAAUUCGAUGCUAAACGAAGAACCUUACCAGGGCUUGACAUCCCUUGAAUUACUCCGAAAGGAGUGAGUGCUUUAUUGAGCAAGGUGACAGGUGAUGCAUGGCCGUCGUCAGCUCGUGUCGUGAGAUGUUUGGUUAAAGUCCAUCAACGAGCGCAACCCUUAUACUUAGUUGUAUUUUUCUAGGUAGACUGCCCCGGGUAACGGGGUAGGAAGGGGGGUAG